UUAGGGAUAUUCGUCAAUGGGGGGAACCCUGAACGAGCAAUGCCGCGUGAGUGAAGAAGGUCCUAUGGAUUGUAAAACUCUGUUGUAUGGGAAGAACGAUAUUAACAGGAAAUGGUUAGUAAGUGACGGUACCAUACGAGAAAGCCCCGGCUAACUACGUGCCAGCAGCCGCGGUAAUACGUAGGGGGCGAGCGUUAUCCGGAUUUAUUGGGCGUAAAGCGUGCGUAGGCGGUUUAUUAAGUUUAAGAUAAAAGGCUGGGGCUUAACUCCAGCUCGUCUUAAAAACUGGUAGACUUGAGUAUGGUAGAGGCAAACGGAAUUUCUAGUGUAGCGGUGAAAUGCGUAGAUAUUAGAAGGAACACCAGUGGCGAAGGCGGUUUGCUGGGCCAAAACUGACGCUGAGGCACGAAAGCGUGGGGAGCAAAUAGG
rnacentral:rRNA from 1 species